rnacentral:rRNA from 1 species
CGGGUGAGUAAUGCUUGGGAAUCUAGCUUAUGGAGGGGGAUAACUACGGGAAACUGUAGCUAAUACCGCGUAGUAUCGAGAGAUGAAAGUGUGGGACCUUCGGGCCACAUGCCAUAGGAUGAGCCCAAGUGGGAUUAGGUAGUUGGUGAGGUAAAGGCUCACCAAGCCGACGAUCUCUAGCUGGUCUGAGAGGAUGACCAGCCACACUGGGACUGAGACACGGCCCAA